rnacentral:rRNA from 1 species
AUUGAACGCUGGCGGCAUGCUUUACACAUGCAAGUCGAACGGCAGCGCGGGCUUCGGCCUGGCGGCGAGUGGCGAACGGGUGAGUAAUGCAUCGGAACGUGCCCAGUAGUGGGGGAUAGCCCGGCGAAAGCCGGAUUAAUACCGCAUACGACCUGAGGGUGAAAGCGGGGGACCGAAAGGCCUCGCGCUAUUGGAGCGGCCGAUGUCGGAUUAGCUAGUUGGUGGGGUAAAGGCUUACCAAGGCGACGAUCCGUAGCUGGUCUGAGAGGACGACCAGCCACACUGGGACUGAGACACGGCCCAGACUCCUACGGGAGGCAGCAGUGGGGAAUUGUGGACAAUGGGGGCAACCCUGAUCCAGCCAUGCCGCGUGCGGGAAGAAGGCCUUCGGGUUGUAAACCGCUUUUGUUCGGGAAGAAAUCCUCUGGGCUAAUACCCCGGGGGGAUGACGGUACCGGAAGAAUAAGCACCGGCUAACUACG